UGCCAGCCGCCGCGGUAAUACGGAGGGUGCAAGCGUUGUCCGGAUUUAUUGGGUUUAAAGGGUACGUAGGUGGGUCUUUAAGUCCGUGGUGAAAUCCCGCAGCUCAACUGCGGAACUGCCAUGGAUACUGGAGAUCUGGAGUUCAGGAGAGGUAAGCGGAAUUUAUGAUGUAGCGGUGAAAUGCAUAGAUAUCAUAAAGAACACCUAUUGCGAAGGCAGCUUACUGGACUUGGACUGACGCUAAGGUACGAAAGCGUGGGGAGCGAACAGGAUUAGAUA
rnacentral:rRNA from 1 species